CGAUAAACGUUGAAGAGGACUAGUAGCUUUAGAGUCAGUAUCUACAGAGAGCCGGUGCUAGCUGGAAACCGGUGUUACUUUCUAAAGUGAACUCACCUCUGAGUGUCUGCUUGAAAUGAUAGUAGGGCAGACCGAGUGACAUUGCAUCACUCGUUACCAAAAUGGAUGAAAGAUGUCCAUGAGACGGCAGCAUGAUUUGCCGUGAACAAGGGUGGUACCGCGAAAAAUAAAGCUUUUUCGCCCCUUUG
rnacentral:ncRNA from 1 species